GUUUAGGGUUGCUAUGUAUUUUCAACAUGAGAACGCCAAACAGAUGUACUCACUGAACUCAAGACUAAAUUCAGAAUGCAUUUGUGCAUGUUCAUUUCAAUUAGUCUUCUGGUCAAUUUUUCAAAAAGUGCAACAUGAAAAAUUAAAAAAACAUAAAUUCAACUAAGAAGGCAAGAAAUUUUCUGAAGAUUAGUUUCAAUGUCUUGGAUGUUUCCUUUAUGUAUUCCAUUCAUUAUGAGUUAGAGAGUUAUGAAAAAGAUUUUAAACCAGUUAGAACUAGCUACUGAAAUUUUGGGUAAAUUAUUUGAAGCCAAUUACUCUGAUCAAUGAUAGAUUCAGAUACUUUGCAGCUCUAGACAGUAGUAAUUAUGAAGCCUCUCUUUAAACAAGAUGGUCCAUUUAGUUUCACAUUUCUAUCAUAUUUUUUUUAGAGUAGGAUUUUUUAAAGAGGACGCUGCUUUGGUAUUUCUGCUGGACUCGAUCACAUGCAGGACAUUUGAAAUUUUGAUUCACUAAUAUAAAAUAUUGUAGCCAGAAAUUUAAACAAAUUCAGAAUUUUCCUGGGCCUUCUGCUUUUGGUUACAAUUGUAUUCUAAUGUAUUAUAUAAUGAAUUUAAAAUAUAUUUCUUCUAAAGACAAAACAUCAAUGUGUUCUGGAGCCAUUUUGGUUCAUUUCAAUUUCUGAUUAGAAGAAGAGUAAUCAACAACUGCUAGGCUGCUCUUCUUGACAAUUAUGAUUUGUUUAUAAUAUUGAAGUUCAUUAUUCAGUCAGUUUUGGUUACAGAUGUGUAGAUUUUUUUUUUCUUUUUUGUUCAAAAUGAUAAUGAGUUGAGAAUACUUUACUAUGAUUAAUAAGACUGGAGAUGAUGUGUAUAAACAUGCAGGCUUCACAUUUUUUUCCCCAGGAAUAUAUUUACCUCAACCAACCUAAAAUGCAAUUUUUUGCAUCCUUUUGAGGAAUUUUCCUAAUGGAACCAUAUGCCUAUUUCUAAUUGUUUAAAAACUAGGAUUGGGUAAUUAUUCAAAUUGAUAUACUAUAUAUCAAUUACAAUUUAAUUCUUUCUUUCUUUUUUUUUCCAUAAUUUUCAGAUUUAUCAAUUAGCAAUGAUAUCAUAUAUCUUUGUACUGAAUAUUCAGUUAAU